rnacentral:snRNA from 1 species
CUAUUGCAUGGUGCCGAGGCCUCGUUGAUCACCGAGGACGAGCUGCCGAGGCGAGGCGGGGGCAUUGCACUGCGCUCGCUUUGACCCCUUCCACUACCCCAAACUGGAACAGGUGGGGCAUGCAAAUUUCUUUAAUACGGUUCAGCGCAAGAGAGGGCGCCACCGCC